GAGGUUACAGCUUGGUGGGUAGAGCGCCUGCUUAGCAUGCAUGAGGUCCUGGGUUCAAUCCCCAGUACCUCCA
rnacentral:tRNA from 1 species